rnacentral:lncRNA from 1 species
UUGUGUAAUCUUAUAUAUUGUGAGAGGCAAAACAAUUUGUAAUCUUUUACUUUGAGUGAUUGUAAGUGUUGGGAUACACUUGGGUUAAGAGAUUGGGGAUAAUCUCUUGUUGUAAAGGUUUAUUGACACAUUGGAAGUCAAGUGUAAGCAUUUGAAGCCUUGGAGGCUUGCUUAGUGGAAUCCUCAAGCCCGGAAAGCUUGGAGGCGUGGACGUAGGCGAGGUUGGCC